UUUCUGCUAGUAUAGCUGCUUUAGUACGCUGGUCUUUGAAGCCAGAGGAGGGAUAUUUUAGCCCGCAGGAAA
rnacentral:tRNA from 1 species